rnacentral:piRNA from 1 species
UGACCUCAUUGGACAAAGCUGCAUCCUCAGC